rnacentral:rRNA from 1 species
AACGCGAAGAACCUUACCUAGCCUUGACAUGUCCGGAACCUCGCAGAAACGCGGGGGUGCCCGAAAGGGAAUCGGAACACAGGUGCUGCAUGGCUGUCGUCAGCUCGUGUCGUGAGAUGUUGGGUUAAGUCCCGCAACGAGCGCAACCCUUGUCGUUAGUUGCCAUCAUUAAGUUGGGCACUUUAACGAGACUGCCGGUGACAAACCGGAGGAAGGUGGGGAUGACGUCAAGUCCUCAUGGCCCUUAUGGCUAGGGCUUCACACGUCAUACAAUGGUCGGUACAGAGGGUUGCCAAGCCGCGAGGUGGAGCUAAUCUCAGAAAGCCGAUCGUAGUCCGGAUUGCAGGCUGCAACUCGCCUGCAUGAAGUCGGAAUCGCUAGUAAUCGCAGGUCAGCAUACUGCGGUGAAUACGUUCCCGGGCCUUGUACACACCGUAGUAC